rnacentral:misc_RNA from 1 species
GAUGAAGAACGCAGCGAAAUGCGAUACGUAAUGUGAAUUGCAGAAUUCAGUGAAUCAUCGAAUCUUUGAACGCAUAUUGCGCUCUCUGGUAUUCCGGAGAGCAUGCUUGUUUGAGUAUCAGUAAACACCUCAACUCCCUUUUCUUUUUUGAAAUGGGAGCUGGACUUGAGUGAUCCCAACACUUUUCUCACUGGAAAGUGGCGGGUCACUUGAAAUGCAGGUGCAGCUGGACUUUUCUCUGAGCUAUAAGCAUAUCUAUUUAGUCUGCCUAAAAAACAGAUUAUUACCUUUGCUGCAGCUAACAUAAAGGAGAUGAGUUCUUGUGCUGACUGAUGCAGGAUUCACAGAGACAGCUUUGCGGCUGACUUUGUAACCUCGAUCUCAAAUCAAGUAAGACUACCCGCUGAACUUAAGCAUAUCAAUAAGCGGAGGA